GACGAACGCUGGCGGCGUGCUUAACACAUGCAAGUCGAACGGAAAGGCCCUGCUUUUGUGGGGUGCUCGAGUGGCGAACGGGUGAGUAACACGUGAGUAACCUGCCCUUGACUUUGGGAUAACUUCAGGAAACUGGGGCUAAUACCGGAUAGGAGCUCCUGCUGCAUGGUGGGGGUUGGAAAGUUUCGGCGGUUGGGGAUGGACUCGCGGCUUAUCAGCUUGUUGGUGGGGUAGUGGAUUACCAAGGCUUUGACGGGUAGCCGGCCUGAGAGGGUGACCGGCCGCCUUGGGACUGAGAUACAGCCCAGACUCCUACUGGAGUCAGCAGUGGAGAAUCUUGCACAAUGGGCGCAAGCCUGAUGCAGCAACUCCGCGUGCUGGAUGACGGCCUUCGGGUUGUAAACCGCUUUCGCCUGUGACGAAGCGUGAGUGACGGUAAUGGGUAAAGAAGCACCGGCUAACUACGUG
rnacentral:rRNA from 1 species